rnacentral:lncRNA from 1 species
GAUAAUGUAAUGUUGGCUCAAUGUAAGGAUCCAAUGUGGGAUGUAGGUAGGGCGCAUGUCACAAGUAAGAACCCUAUCAAUGACAAGGAUCCUGGUGUUUUAGUGGGAGCACGGUAGAGGGGUGGGCCCAUAUUCUACCAAAUUCAUAAACGUAGGCCAAUCAUAUGAGAUUUUCCCGUUAUCAAUAAAUAAGAAAAGAAAAUAAAGGCAUCAAAGUGCCAUCACGGAUCCAAAUUACAUAAAGAUGGGUCGCCUUUGCAGCUAGACAAACACA